AGUGAACGCUGGCGGUAGGCCUAACACAUGCAAGUCGAACGGCAGCACAGUAAGAGCUUGCUCUUACGGGUGGCGAGUGGCGGACGGGUGAGGAAUACAUCGGAAUCUACUUUUUCGUGGGGGAUAACGUAGGGAAACUUACGCUAAUACCGCAUACGACCUACGGGUGAAAGCAGGGGAUCUUCGGACCUUGCGCGAUUGAAUGAGCCGAUGUCGGAUUAGCUAGUUGGCGGGGUAAAGGCCCACAAAGGCGACGCUCCGUAGCUGGUCUGAGAGGAUGAUCCGCCACACUGGAACUGAGACACGGUCCAGACUCCUACGGUAGGCAGCAGUGGGGAAUCUUGGGCAAUGGGCGCAAGCCUGAUCCAGCCAUACCGCGUGGGUGAAGAAGGCCUUCUGGUUGGUGAGCCCUUUUGUUGGGAAAGAAAAGCAGCUGUUUAAUACCCCGCUGUUCUGACGGUACCCAAAGAAUAAGCACCGGCUAACUUCGUG
rnacentral:rRNA from 1 species